rnacentral:lncRNA from 1 species
AUGCUAAGGAGAGAGUGUGUUUGGGGUAUUUUAUGUGACUAUUUGCCUAGAAUGGAGAGUACAAUUGAGCCCGUUAGUAAGAACGUCUCACACCAGUUUCCCACCAGAAGCAGUUUUGCUCUCCUAGAGCAGAUGUGUAGGUCCACGCUCUGUAAUACAUGGAAGAAGAUAAAAAAUUGGAAUCAAAAAUAUAUAUAAUGCAAGCCACAUAUGUAAUUAUAUUUAUUUAUUUAUUUUAUAUCUAUAUCUUUAUUUAGUUACUUUUCAGUGAAGUUGUUGAGGAGUAGAGCAGCACACAUAUUCUGUGGCCAAUGACUUUGGCAGGAAGGUUCCUUUGGAAUCUAGCAUGAAGCAUAUGGCUGUUUCCAUGGGCAUGAGUUACUUUUCCCCGGAUUACUCAGCUUGCCACCAGGAGUCACUGUGUUGUUCUUUGCUUUGUACACAUAAGGGCACCUCUUGUCUAGAUAGAAUUCAGUUUCAUCUCAAGCAUCAACACCUUCAAUUUUAAGAUCUGUAUGUUCCCUCUGGUUCUGGGGACACUGCUUAUAGUCGGCAAAAAGGGCCUUGCACCACAGCCUUCCACAUAUAUUUGUUGUUUUAGGAGUUCUCUUCCCAGCAGGGCUCUCCAGGCUCCAAGAUUGGGGUAAGAGCAUCAUAUGUGUGAUUUUAAAUUUUCUAGUAGCUACAUUUAGCAGAAAAGUGAAAAUAACAGGUGAAACAGGUUUAAUUAUUUAUUUUCCUUAACCCAAUGUAUCCACGAUUUAUUACCUUAAAUCAAUAAAAAAAAUAUAGCAGUGAUAUUACUCUUAUCGAUUGCAGGGUUUGUGAAAUGGGAGAACCAUUCAAAGGGUUGUCUUAACUUUGUCAAUGGUUUCCUUUGAUAUGCAGAUGAUUUUUAUUUUGCUGUGGUCCCCUUCGUCUACUUUUGCUUUUGUUGCCUGUGGUUUUGAUGUCAUACCUAAGAAAUAAUUGCUAAGGCUAAUAUCAAAGAUUUUCCUGUUUUCUUCUAAGAGUUUUACAGUUAUCAGUCUUAAGUAUAAGCCUUUAGUCUAUUUCAAUUGGUUUUUGUGUGCAGCAUAAGAUAAAGGUCCAAUUUCAUUCUUUUGCAUGUGGAUAUCCAGUUUUUCCAUUGCUUGUCAGACUAUCCUCUCUCCAUUUUGUGUUUAGCACAC